rfam:Oryza rufipogon genomic scaffold, chr10
GAUUUCAACUGAAAAAGUUAUCAACAGCAAAGUUGAACAACUCAUCAAGAUCUAAAACUUUUAUUUUGGUCAUUUCUUCACCUGGUAAAGUGAUAGUAACAUUGUUCACAAAAUUGAUAUAUCUCUUAUGUGGUUUUAUAAACUAUAACACCUAUAUGUAAAAUUUGUGAACAAUAUUACUAAUAUUUUAUCAGAUGAAGAAAUGACCAAAAUAAAAGUUUUAGAUCUUGAUGAGUUAUUCAACUUUGUUGUUGAUAACUUUUUCAGUUGAAAUC